UAUUAGUGUAUCUGCAUUUUGAUUUAUAAGUAUAUUUAAGCUGUGAAGAGUUUCAUUAUUAUAAAACUUUGGGAAUUAUAAAACUUUGGGAAAUUGGAUGAUGAUAUUUCGCAUUGCUAUACGAAUACUUUUAUUUUUAAUUGGUUCGUUUAUGUGAUGGUUGUCUUUGCUUAUAUUCAUAUUCUAGGGUCGGACCAUGGCUGCAGAUGUUAAACAUUGCCGACUGCAUCAGAAAUUUAGUAAUCAAUUUUGUCUAUGAACAUUAACAAAUAUAACUAAAGAUAACUGCACUCGAGAUAGUAUGUUCCAAAUUGGUUUCCUGGGAAUUUGAUCUCUACCUGUCAAACAUUAGCGUUCGAUCUAAAAACACAUGAAUGACAACUAUAUCAUGACCUAUAUUUCUGUUGAUGAUUUUCCUAUGAAAAUUACCUACUAACAUUUGGAAUUUCAUCGGAUGAACUAUUCUAAUUGAAAGUUUGGGCUUGAUCUUAAUAGAUGGAAAUGUAAGUAUUUAUUAUAGAGUGUAAAAGUGGAUUUCUCUUUCUCUUUCUGUUUAAAUAAGAAUUACAUUUGAGAAUAUUUCAAGAGAAUUCUAUAGCUGAUAAUAAUAUCAAGUGAGCAUCUGGGCACCUGAUGUACAUAAAGGUAAGAUUUGUCUACACAACAUGUUCAUUUACGUAGUUCACAAGAGUUUUGUUAACCAUGAAUGCUAAGUGGUUUUGUUUACGCGGGUCAUUUACAAUGAACGUGGUUUUAUUUACAUGCACAUAAAAGUAAAGUCGAUUGGAAAUAUCCGUCGUUUUGAUAACCAUGACUUGAAAUAUACAAUGAUUCUCUGUAGUUUUGUUAAAAAAAUUUUUUUGGUGGUUUUGUUUGUUUUGCGCAAUGUUGGCUUGGCGUACAAAGGCUUUACUGGAUUUGUUCAUUUUGUAGAUCUGUAUUUAGUUGAGUUGAAGUGGAAAGUAGAGUCUACUACUAUUGUACAUGUUUAUGGACGCUUUAGUCUUUGACAUGGCGACUUAUUAAAUAUAAAUGCUCAUUUUGGGACAUCUUUUACAUUGUUAAAAAUGUGCAACUAUUUAUUGGCAAGCAGUGAUGCAUCCACUGAUUCCACUUGCUAAUCCUUUGAAAGAAAAGCAUUCGUCACUUUUUUAUGUUGAGGAGAUCAGCAAACUAUGCAACAGAUCAAGGAGACUUAACCAGUGUACAGCUUUUUUAGAGUUGCAUAUUGAGCAAGGUCCAUUAAUUGCUAGAACGAAGUGUGACUAUUUUUCUACUGUAGGAUCUGUGGAAGCGUCUAAUAUAAGGGUAGGUUCAGAAUGCAGUUUGGUUUUGAAGUUUUAAUUUCGUCUUGCAUAAUCUGUUUGUAUUCAUAUAUUGAUAGUUCUGACCUCAUUGUGAGAAUGACGAUCUCUUCCAAUCAGGAGAGCAGGUGUAGUAAACAUGAUCUCACAUUAGUAUAUCUUCCCAGCUAUAUGUCAUGCCGUUCUAUCUUUUUUUCUCUCCAUGUUGCAUCUGUCCGGCGAAAGCUGACCUUUUCUUUGCCAAUUUUCAGUUUUCAGUGGUUGAUCAAUCGUUUUAUGUCUGGUUUGACAUGAAGAGGCUUAGGUACUUUUUGGUUUUUUUAUCAGCCUAAUUUUUGAUUGGUGUUGGUUGGUACUGGUGACGGUGGUGUAUAGGACUGUGCUAACGGAGGAAAUCCCAAGUGUUUUCAAUGGCCCUGAUCAUGCAUUGGUUUGGAAAAGGAGUUGAUGGUAAUGGAAUUUAUGCAGGAUUGACGAGUUCAGGCGAGGUUUACAUGAUAUUUCUUAUUUAGAUGAUGGUGCAAUUGCCAUGGCUCGAGCUUAACAAUGAUAUGGAUUAUAUUUCUUUUGCAUUAACUACAAUGCCUUGCAGACUGGAGAGCUAAUCCAUAUUUCCUACACACACCUGUCCCGUUUGGCUUCAGGUUGUUUUACAGUUGUUUUUCAGUACCCAACUUCGUGGUACUGCCUCCGGUUAUUUAGGGAACAUUGAUUCUGUCUGGUGCGAUGUCAGAUUGGAGCUGGAUUAAUGUUUGAAUUAAUAUAUGUUCUUUGUUUUUACAA